GAAUAGCCUACUUUUAUAGAACUUUCAUCCCAAUACUGAUUAUGAAGUUGUAAUAAAUUAAUUAUAUAGCCUACUGCAGAAAUGUUUAUAUUGCUUUAUAUGGACAUAUCCUUUGGCAAAGAGAUGGAUGCAUUCUGGGAAUUGAUAUGUGUUUAAAUGUAAUGGCUACAUACUCGUGUUUCCUUCACUUCGACAUUUACGCUGACCCCUUUGAAAUUUUGAGCACGGAUAUAAAAUAUUAAGACUGUACUUUUUAAUUAUUAUUGAUAUUUUGGCGCAAUUUUGUGCAGUACGUCACUGUGUGCGACCAUCGCAGACACCAUUGCCCAGCGCGAUUCCACCACGAUCCUGUCAAACAUAUCACCUGUCGAACCUAUCCAAACCUUAUUUUCAAAACCCAAAGGCACUUUUAAGAGCCAACCUCUAUCUCUUCAUUAUUUUCGAUAUCUUACAUCCUCUCUGUUCUCUCACUAUCUAUAUUUCUGUCCAUCUCUUCAAUCUUUAUCUAUCUCACAGUCAUCUAUUGCUCUUUCUUUCCUCCCUGUCUGUCUUUGUCUACUUGUCUGUCUUACCCAUCUUUGUCUGUCUGUCUGUAUCUGACUGUCUGUCUGUCUGUCUGUAUCUGACUGCAUUGCAAUGGCCACCAGGCAUAAACUUGAUUCAAAAGAUCCCCACUACCAAGAGGGGAAACGCAUGGCUCUGGAGCUGAAACAUGAACACAUUCUAGCUGAAGCCAAGAGAGCAGCUGAUGAGAGGAAACGUGUACGAGACCCUCCACACACCUCUAAAAGGGACUCUGUAGGACGUGGUAAGCCGAGGGGAGGCGAGGAGGGCGACGCCAAGCCUCCGCUACAGCCACAUACCCCACGGUUGAGUGCUCCCUGUCAUCAAGUGUGGAGGUUCCACUUACUGCAACCUCAACAAAACUAAAUCCUCAAGAGGAAUUUGAAAAAAAUAUGGAGAGGCUCUCUGAUAUUUUGGCGUCAUGUCCUUCUGCUGCUCAGCCUCAAAGUAGCUCUGCAUCAUCAUGGUCUUUUCGGCAGCAGAAAGCCUCAGA